UGGUGUAUGUGACAAAGCUGGAAGGAGGCA
rnacentral:piRNA from 1 species